UUUGCAGCCUUUCUGUGUACUGCCCAGUCCUGACAUAUCUGUUUUUCUUUAGAUUACUCACCUUCUAAGUGUUUGACGAUACCGCGGAGACUGUUGCCGUGGGCUGCGAUGAUAACGUUCUUUCCGGCUUUGAUUUCAGGCGCGAUGACGUCGUUCCAGAACGGCAGGGCGCGAGCAAUGGUGUCCUUCAGGGAUUCGCAUGUAGGCAGCUCACCAGCCUUCAGGUUCUUGUAGCGUCUGGACUGUAGGUUGUGCAGUUCAGUCAGCAUUUCAUUGAAGUUUGAUUUUUUGUUGGCUCACCUCACUGAUGAUGGAGUGAUAGGAGUGGUCCUUGUCCAUAGAUGGUGGUGGGAUGUCGAAGGAGCGACGCCAGAUUUUCACCUGCUCCUCACCGUGUUUGGCGGCUGUCUCGGCCUUGUUGAGACCGGUGAGGCCCCCGUAGUGACGCUCAUUGAGGCGCCAAGUACGGAUUACGGGAAGCCACAUCUGGUCCGUACCUUCCAUGAUGGUCCACAAGGUCUUGAUGGCACGUUUAAGCACGGAGGUGUAGCAGAUGUCAAACUUCAUGCCAGCCUCCUUGAUGGCUUGAGCUCCCCGCUUGGCCUCCUCCAUACCCUUCUCACUGAGGUCUGCAUCAAACCAGCCGCAAAAGCGGUUCUCCUGGUUCCAGGAGCUCUCACCAUGUCGAACAAUAACCAGACGAUGAACAGCGGCCAUGCUCACCUAACACAGUGCCCUCGGUCCUUGUAAGUUGUGCACACACUCCGGCAGCCCAAAGUGAGGCCAGGUCGACAUUCUUUGCUCUUUUUAUAGCGGUGUGGCAGCAGGCAUCACAUGAUGGACAAACCCUCUCCACGGUCCAGAGGCCUUUAAUCUGUGAUGGACAGGCCGGCUCAGCCAGUAGGAACAGUUGUCUGCACGUGAAGGCCAAAGAUACUGAAAGCGCUCGCAGAGAAGUGGGAACUCCUCAUUCAUUCACACCUGGUGGUGGUAAGCUACAUCUGUAGCCACAGCUGCCCUGGGGUAGACUGAUGGAAGCGUGGCUGCCAGUUUGCGCCUACGGCCCCUCCGACCACCACCUAUCAUUCAUUCAUUCAUCAUUCCUUCACCAGUGUGAGUGCCACCGGGGGCAAAGGUGAAGUUUCCUGCCCAAGGACACAACGGCAGCGAUUUGGAUGUCAAUAGGCGGAGAGCGAACCUGCAACCCUCAGGUUUCUGGCACAGCUGCUCUACCCACUACGCCAUGCCACCCCUUUAUGUCAAGUUCUGUUAUGACUGUCAGGCUACUGCUAUACAUACAUACAUAUGUAUAUAUAUAUAUGAGUUUUCCGUCUAUAGUCGGAAUUCCGUCUUUUUUAAUCUCGGGGAAAAAGAUUUGUUUACUUGCCGAUUCAUCUUUUGUAAUCGAGACGUAGCUUAUAUUACGCCGUUGUUGAUUGGUCGAUAUGUUCCUUGUGACCAAUUGGACAUCUGUUAUAAAUGAUGACAUUAUUACCACCAUUUUCCAAAUGUAAACGAUGUCGGUUCUCGAGAGAAAGGACGCUUCACGAGUAAAAGAAAUUGAUAAACAUAUCAAAAAUAAGUUUCGAUGGGACUGGAUGGAAAGGGAAAUUACUGAUACUGUUGGGAAGAAGGAAGUUACGACUUUGUUCGGCGAUUUUAUGCUGAAAAUGGAUCGUCCCGGAAAAGUCUUGUGCACGUGGUGUCAUGAGAAUAUUGACUAUGGAUCACGAGGUUUCAAGGCUUUGGAAGUACAUGCGAAACGCCAAAAACAUAUGAAACAACUUGAAGCAAGGAAAACAAACUUUUAACUAGCUGGUACUUUUGGAUGUCAACCGAAAGUGAGCAAACCUUAUACACGGACUUCAUCCUUUGUUUACAUCCACAACUGCCGUAGACAUCGAGAUGAAAGAUCCACCCAAAACAACGCACUUCAGUUGCAGACAGGGUAGUUAAUAAUGAGGUAAGCUAAAAAAUAUUUCCUUGCGAAAUACGCAUGUUUGUUUUAAAUAUUAACCAAUUAUUGCUUUGCGAAAUAUAAAUGGCUUUUUCUAAAAAUAAAAAGCCACAUGAGAAUAUAUUAUGAAAUUACAGAAAUUCAAAGAGUCGCAUUGUUAAUUCCAGUUAAAGAUUUAUUUGAAAUAAAUUUGCAUAUAAUACUGUUUUGUAAUAUUAAGUUCUUAUGUAAAGAAGCUACAAAAGCAGAGACCAAAGGGAAAAUGCAGGCUGCUCAGAAAUUUGCAAGGAAAGCUCAUGUUAGGGCCCCCCGAGCAGGUAAAUGUGUGAAGUGAACUGAAGUAAUGUGGUAAUACUGUAAAUAAACUGUAGAUAAUAACACUGAUCAAUGUGACACCUGUGGAUGUGAAAUGAACACAAGAUGUAAAUAUUAGUAACUAAAUACUGUUGUGACUGAACCAUAUACAGUGAUUCAGUAGGAUAAUUGGGGUAUAUAGGUUCUAUUAAUGAUGUUUUCAUGUCUUUAAACACUAAAAUAUUUUCUUCAAA